CACGUAGGGACCGAGCGUUGUCCGGAGUUACUGGGCGUAAAGGGCGCGCAGGCGGUUGGUCGCGUCGGGCGUGAAAGCCCCCCGCUUAACGGGGGAGGGUCGUCCGAAACGGGCCAACUGGAGGCAGGGAGAGGUCGGUGGAAUUCCCGGUGUAGUGGUGAAAUGCGUAGAUAUCGGGAGGAACACCAGUGGCGAAGGCGGCCGACUGGACCUGACCUGACGCUGAGGCGCGAAGGCGUGGGGAGCGAACGGGAUUAGAAACCCCCGUAGUCC
rnacentral:rRNA from 1 species